rnacentral:rRNA from 1 species
GAUGAACGCUGGCGGCGUGCUUAACACAUGCAAGUCGAACGGAAAGGCCCAAGCUUGCUUGGGUACUCGAGUGGCGAACGGGUGAGUAACACGUGGGUGAUCUGCCCUGCACUUCGGGAUAAGCCUGGGAAACUGGGUCUAAUACCGGAUAGGACCACAUUUUGGAUGGUGUGGUGGAAAGUUUUUCGGUGUGGGAUGAGCUCGCGGCCUAUCAGCUUGUUGGUGGGGUAAUGGCCUACCAAGGCGUCGACGGGUAGCCGGCCUGAGAGGGUGUACGGCCACAUUGGGAGUGAGAGACGGCCCAGACUCUCACAGGAGGCAGCAGUGGGGAAUAUUGCACAAUGUGCGCAAGCCUGAUGCAGCGACGCCGCGUGGGGGAUGACGGCCUUCGGGUUGUAAACUCCUUUCGCUAGGGACGAAGCGUUUUUGUGACGGUACCUGGAGAAGAAGCACCGGCUAACUACGUG